rnacentral:rRNA from 1 species
UACGUAGGGACCGAGCGUUGUCCGGAAUCAUUGGGCGUAAAGAGCGUGUAGGCGGCCACUUAAGUCCUGCGUGAAAUCCUGCGGCUCAACCGCAGGCGGUCGUGGGAAACUGGGUGGCUAGAGUGCGGGAGAGGAGAGUGGAAUUCCUGGUGUAGCGGUGGAAUGCGCAGAUAUCAGGAGGAACACCGGUGGUGUAGACGGCUUUCUGGACCGUAACUGACGCUGAGACACGAAAGCGUGGGUAGCAAACAGG